rnacentral:rRNA from 1 species
GACGAACGCUGGCGGCGUGCUUAACACAUGCAAGUCGAACGGAAAGGCCCUGCUUUUGUGGGGUGCUCGAGUGGCGAACGGGUGAGUAACACGUGAGUAACCUGCCCUUGACUUUGGGAUAACUUCAGGAAACUGGGGCUAAUACCGGAUAGGAGCUCCUGCUGCAUGGUGGGGGUUGGAAAGUUUCGGCGGUUGGGGAUGGACUCGCGGCUUAUCAGCUAGUUGGUGGGGUAGUGGCUUACCAAGGCUUUGACGGGUAGCCGGCCUGAGAGGGUGACCGGCCACAUUGGGACUGAGAUACGGCCCAGACUCCUACGGGAGGCAGCAGUGGGGAAUAUUGCACAAUGGGCGGAAGCCUGAUGCAGCAACGCCGCGUGCGGGAUGACGGCCUUCGGGUUGUAAACCGCUUUCGCCUGUGACGAAGCGUGAGUGACGGUAAUGGGUAAAGAAGCACCGGCUAACUACGUGCCAGCAGCCGCGGUGAUACGUAGGGUGCGAGCGUUGUCCGGAUUUAUUGGGCGUAAAGGGCUCGUAGGUGGUUGAUCGCGUCGGAAGUGUAAUCUUGGGGCUUAACCCUGAGCGUGCUUUCGAUACGGGUUGACUUGAGGAAGGUAGGGGAGAAUGGAAUUCCUGGUGGAGCGGUGGAAUGCGCAGAUAUCAGGAGGAACACCAGUGGCGAAGGCGGUUCUCUGGGCCUUUCCUGACGCUGAGGAGCGAAAGCGUGGGGAGCGAACAGGCUUAGAUACCCUGGUAGUCCACGCUGUAAACGGUGGGUACUAGGUGUGGGGUCCAUUCCACGGGUUCCGUGCCGUAGCUAACGCUUUAAGUGCCCCGCCUGGGGAGUACGGCCGCAAGGCUAAAACUCAAAGGAAUUGACGGGGCCCCGCACAAGCGGCGGAGCAUGCGGAUUAAUUCGAUGCAACGCGUAGAACCUUACCUGGGUUUGACAUGGAUCGGGAGUGCUCAGAGAUGGGUGUGCCUCUUUUGGGGUCGGUUCACAGGUGGUGCAUGGCUGUCGUCAGCUCGUGUCGUGAGAUGUUGGGUUAAGUCCCGCAACGAGCGCAACCCUUGUUCACUGUUGCCAGCACGUUAUGGUGGGGACUCAGUGGAGACCGCCGGGGUCAACUCGGAGGAAGGUGGGGAUGACGUCAAGUCAUCAUGCCCCUUAUGUCCAGGGCUUCACGCAUGCUACAAUGGCUGGUACAGAGAGUGGCGAGCCUGUGAGGGUGAGCGAAUCUCGGAAAGCCGGUCUCAGUUCGGAUUGGGGUCUGCAACUCGACCUCAUGAAGUCGGAGUCGCUAGUAAUCGCAGAUCAGCAACGCUGCGGUGAAUACGUUCCCGGG